rnacentral:lncRNA from 1 species
AUCAACAAUCAUUCCGCAAACACCUGAUCAAGAACCAUCAGAAAUUCACAGCACCAAACAGCCAAAGGAGUGAUCAAAUCAAUCAGUAGGACACACAAAAAAUCCAAAAUCCAACAAACACAAGAACCCUCAAAACCAACAAGACCCAAGGAUAGGUUGAAGUUAAUGCUUGCUUUGACAAGUGUACUUCCUGACAUAAGGAGAUCCACUUGUAUUUCAUGCACGU